GGCCGCGGGAAUUCGAUAAAGACCUAACACAUGCAAGUCGAACGCCCCGCAAGGGGAGUGGCAGACGGGUGAGUAACGCGUGGGAAUCUACCCAUCUCUACGGAAUAACUCAGGGAAACUUGUGCUAAUACCGUAUACGCCCUUCGGGGGAAAGAUUUAUCGGAGAUGGAUGAGCCCGCAUUGGAUUAGCUAGUUGGUGGGGUAAAGGCCUACCAAGGCGACGAUCCAUAGCUGGUCUGAGAGGAUGAUCAGCCACAUUGGGACUGAGACACGGCCCAAACUCCUACGGGAGGCAGCAGUGGGGAAUAUUGGAAAGGGGGCGCAAGCCUGAUCCAGCCAUGCCGCGUGAGUAAAGGAGGCCCUAGGGUUGUAAAGCUCUUUCACCGAUGAAGAUAAUGA
rnacentral:rRNA from 1 species